rnacentral:lncRNA from 1 species
GGAAAGGAUAUUGUAUUUCCUAGGCCUUGAAAAGUGCUUGGGAUAUGUUACAUUUUUUUCUCAAAUAUUUGAAGAAGACUGGGUAAAUGGAUAUAAGCCCUUAAGAGAUACAGAGUGAGUUAGUACAGCAGGAGGGAGCCCUUGUAGGCUUACAGGCUUCUCUAAGGGCCUCUUCUCCUGGGGUGGGGUGGGCAAUGGUAGCUCCUUGUAACGCCCGGUCCUUCCUUCUAAGGGGUUUGUGAGGGCAGGAAAGAGAACAGACCAAUGUGGGGACCAUUACUUCUUACCACAAAGUGAAGAAGGCCCUGCCUUGCUCCACGUUUACACAUCGCACGGGCAACGGAAGAAACCAAAGUCCCACCUCUGAGGGUUCACUUUCUGGGGCCACAGAAUGAGAAUGAGAAGAAACUUAGGAAACCUCCCAGCCAGAAUCCUAGAGGGACAAAAAAGGGGCAUUUCUCAGUGUCCUUCUGGCCAGUGAUGGAAGUCUCGGGGUCUGGGGGCCAAUCCCUGCCCUGCAGAAUGAGGUUUUCUCAGCCGCAGGAGAAGGCCCCUUCUUUUUCAGUUCUAUCUGCAUGGAACCCCCUCUUCUAGCCUGCCUCAGCCCAAGUCUUCUUUCUUUGCGGCUCUGAAUGGCAUAAGGGUGAGUGCGCAUGCCCCUUCUCACCCAACCUGCCACACACAGACUAGCAGCCAUAGCAUAAACCUUAAAAAGCCCAGCUAUGGUGGGCGAGGGCACAGGAGACAAGCGUAGGUAGUGGGUUACAGUAAUGUCUGCCCUGAGUGUAGGUGGCUUGGCCAGAAAUACCACGGACAGGGGGACUUCAACAACAACCGUUUCUCACAGUUCUGAAGCUGUGUAGGACACAGCGUGGUGUAAAGUUUAGUGGCAAAUUGUUUGGAGUAGUGAUCCCCAAGCUUCUGUGACCGCAUAAAGUUAGGGGUUAGCGAUAAGUAGCGGGCACUCCAUUUAAUCUCUUGGGGGAAGGUGGCCACAGCGGAUGAGUAAACCUUCUUCCUGUUCUUACUUUAAGAAUCCGAGGCUUUGAAAGCUGAGUGGGGAAUUAAGUUCUUUGACUCUGGCUUUUCUGUUCUUACCACUUUUCUCUCCCUGGAGAAUUCUCAUUGAUAUAUUAUGUAUUAUAUAUCACAUAUUAUAUAUUGUAUAUUAUUAUAUGUAAUUUAAUGUAAUUAUUAUAUAAUUAUAUAAUGUAUAAUUAAUAUAUUAUAUAAUUAUACACCAUAUCACAUAUUCUAUAACAAUAUAUAAUCUAUAUUAUAUUAACAAUAUAUUGUAUUAUAUAAUAUAUGUCAUAUAUUAUAUACACAUAUAAUAUAUGCAAUAUCACAUAUAUGAUAUUAUAUAUACACAUAUAAACAUAUAUGUAUGUAUACACAUACAUACACAUACACAAUUUAUGUAUGUAUACACACACAUCUAUCUAUCUAUCUAUCUA